rnacentral:rRNA from 1 species
UACGUAGGGUGCAAGCGUUGUCCGGAAUUAUUGGGCGUAAAGAGCUCGUAGGCGGUCUGUCGCGUCUGCUGUGAAAACUCGGGGCUUAACCCCGGGCCUGCAGUGGGUACGGGCAGACUAGAGUGCGGUAGGGGAGACUGGAAUUCCUGGUGUAGCGGUGAAAUGCGCAGAUAUCAGGAGGAACACCGAUGGCGAAGGCAGGUCUCUGGGCCAUAACUGACGCUGAGGAGCGAAAGCAUGGGGAGCGAACAGG